rnacentral:rRNA from 1 species
UACGGGGGGGGCAAGCGUUGUUCGGAAUUACUGGGCGUAAAGGGCUCGUAGGCGGCCAACUAAGUCGGACGUGAAAUCCCUCGGCUUAACCGGGGAACUGCGUCCGAUACUGGAUGGCUUGAGUUCGGGAGAGGGAUGCGGAAUUCCAGGUGUAGCGGUGAAAUGCGCAGAUAUCAGGAAGAACACCCGUGGCUAAGGCGGCUCUCUAGUACGGUACUGACGCUGAGACGCGAAAGCGUGGGGAGCGAACAGG